UUGUGUCUACGCAUAUAGUUAAUAAAGUAGCCUAUAUAAGAGGAAGAUUUCUCCUCAGAAAACUGCGAAUUGGUUAAUGAAGAAAAAAUAAGAUGGACUACAGAUAUUUGCUUUUAGUUGUACUUUGCUUGUCAUCUCUUGGUAUAACUACACAAGCAUAUUUACCGGAGUAUCAGUCUUAUUACGAGUCUAUUGAGCCUAGAAUUCAUCGACGACACGCAAAUGGCAGUGGCAUAUCGGACGUAUUUAUUCGCUUUAGAGCACCACCAAUAACAAAUUAUAACCGACGGCCAUAUCCAUACCCAUAUUGACUGUAUUAAGUAUUGAGAUAUAUCAAUAAAAUUGUUUUAAAAUUUUAUAAAAA